UACGUAGGGUCCAAGCGUUAAUCGGAAUUACUGGGCGUAAAGCGUGCGCAGGCGGUUGUGUAAGGCAGGUGUGAAAUCCCCAGGCUUAACCUGGGAACUGCAUUUGUGACUGCACGGCUAGAGUGUGUCAGAGGGAGGUAGAAUUCCACGUGUAGCAGUGAAAUGCGUAGAUAUGUGGAGGAAUACCGAUGGCGAAGGCAGCCUCCUGGGAUAACACUGACGCUCAUGCACGAAAGCGUGGGGAGCAAACAGG
rnacentral:rRNA from 1 species